AUCCUCCUUGAAGAAUGGUCCAGCCUGCACUGCUGCUUUUUACCAUCAGGGGGCAGUGGGGCCAUGAGUGCCCAGGGAGACAGGGAAGGAUGCUUAGCACCUGGCAAGUGGGAGGAAGUGUCUCUCAGUGUUUGCACUUAAAGCAUCUCAGUAGCUAGAUACUUCAUUGGUACAAAUGGUGUAUUUUCUUCUAAAUUUUGUGCAAUACAAAAAGGCAGGAAGUUUGAUCUUAAUGCAUUUGCCAUGGCCAUCUAUUUCACUAUGAGCCAAGAAUUUAUUAGGAAAACGAAAAGAAUUGAAACUGCUAACCUGGUUCCCUGUGCUGUUGUAACGCUAUCUUGAUGGGUUGCUGUGAAAAUGUGAAGAUGUCUGUCAGGCAGGAAAAAUUAUGUAAAAAUGAUGUGGGUAUAGAAAAUGGGAUCGACAAAAUGUAAUAAACUCCUCCUGGGCUGAAGAGCAGAGCUGCAUAUGUAAUGAAGUACUUUAGGAUUACGUCACCUUUUAUAUAACAUCUGGCAGUGACUUUUAUUUCAGAGCUAAUUUGAAGAAGCCAGGCGCUUUUCUCUUCCCCUCCCCAAGACUGCCUUUAUCUGAAAGAAGAAAGAAGGAACUGUUAGAUUUUGCAUGCAAAGAAAGCCAGAGUGGCUAGAUUACUCCCUUAGGGUAAUGGAGAAAGGAAAAAGAAAUUGAAAAAGGUCAGGUGAACAAAGCAGAAGGAAUGAAGAGGUUUGUGUGAUUCUUAGUGAAAUUGGACCAGUCUAAGCAACCAGACAGUGCAGUUCAGGAAACCAGGCUGAAGAACGUGAAGUAUAUCGCCCAAAGUCAGACACGAAGGAACAACUGCUUUGGAGCUAGCACAUUCCUGAGCUGGAAUUGCACCACUGGUCAAUGGGACUGCAGAAUCCAAACUGUUUUCUACCGGAACAACUCCUUCCCUGCAGGAAGCAGGGUGCUCAUGGCUGAACCAUGGUCUGAGAAGGUUGAUGAAGUCACUGACUCAGCCCCAGCAAGGAAGUUGUCCUUCGACUUCUGACCUCUGGCCCUGUUUGAAAACCAACUCAAAUCGUCUUUCUUUUUCAGGGGAUGGAAUUGGCAAAAGAAUAUCGUGGGUCUACAUGAGCAUGGAGCUGAUAGAAGAAACUGUCAAAUACAAUCUAAAAGAACACAGUCCUUGUAAUGUAGGGGUGUGCAGAGACAGAACACAUCUUGAACUAAAACACUAA
ensembl:lincRNA